AUGAAGAACGUAGCGAAAUGCGAUAAGUAAUGUGAAUUGCAGAAUUCAGUGAAUCAUCGAAUCUUUGAACGCACAUUGCGCCCGCCAGUAUUCUGGCGGGCAUGCCUGUUCGAGCGUCAUUUCAACCAUCAAGCCCCCCGGCUUGUGUUGGGGACCUGCGGCUGCCGCAGGCCCUGAAAAGCAGUGGCGGGCUCGCUGUCACACCGAGCGUAGUAGCAUACAUCUCGCUCUGGGCGUGCUGCGGGUUCCGGCCGUUAAACCACCUUCAUAACCCAAGGUUGACCUCGGAUCAGGUAGGAAGACCCGCUGAACUUAAGCAUAUCAAUAAGCGGAGGA
rnacentral:misc_RNA from 1 species